rnacentral:rRNA from 1 species
GCGCAAGCCUGAUGCAGCCAUGCCGCGUGUAUGAAGAAGGCCUUCGGGUUGUAAAGUACUUUCAGCAGUGAGGAAGGGGGUGUCGUUAAUAGCGGCAUCUCUUGACGUUAGCUGCAGAAGAAGCACCGGCUAACUCCGUGCCAGCAGCCGCGGUAAUACGGAGGGUGCGAGCGUUAAUCGGAAUUACUGGGCGUAAAGCGCAUGCAGGUGGUUUGUUAAGUCAGAUGUGAAAGCCCGGGGCUCAACCUCGGAACUGCAUUUGAAACUGGCAAACUAGAGUACUGUAGAGGGGGGUAGAAUUUCAGGUGUAGCGGUGAAAUGCGUAGAGAUCUGAAGGAAUACCAGUGGCGAAAGGCGGCCCCCUGGACAGAUACUGACACUCAGAUGCGAAAGCGUGGGGAGCAAACAGGAUUAGAUACCCUGGUAGUCCACGCCGUAAACGAUGUCUACUUGGAGGUUGUGGCCUUGAGCCGUGGCUUUCGGAGCUAACGCGUUAAGUAGACCGCCUGG